rnacentral:rRNA from 1 species
UCCUGGCUCGAGACGAACGCUGGCGGCGUGCCUAAUACAUGCAAGUCGAGCGAAUGACAAGGAGCUUGCUCCUUUGAUUUAGCGGCGGACGGGUGAGUAACACGUGGGUAACCUACCCUAUAGACUGGGAUAACUUCGGGAAACCGGAGCUAAUACCGGAUAAUACUUUUGAACACAUGUUCGAAAGUUGAAAGAUGGUUUCGGCUAUCACUAUAGGAUGGACCCGCGGCGCAUUAGCUAGUUGGUGGGGUAAUGGCUCACCAAGGCAACGAUGCGUAGCCGACCUGAGAGGGUGAUCGGCCACACUGGGACUGAGACACGGCCCAGACUCCUACGGGAGGCAGCAGUAGGGAAUCUUCCACAAUGGACGAAAGUCUGAUGGAGCAACGCCGCGUGAGUGAAGAAGGAUUUCGGUUCGUAAAACUCUGUUGCAAGGGAAGAACAAGUAGCGUAGUAACUGGCGCUACCUUGACGGUACCUUGUUAGAAAGCCACGGCUAACUACGUGCCAGCCGCAGC